UAUAACGGCUUCAUUGCGCCUUCACAAAAAUGGUCACAACAGAUUACAGCGAAAACAAUGUUGACAAAAAUAAAUCAAAUUUAAAGUAGUUUUGAUUUAUGGCGUGAACAAAAUUAAUGAUGCCACCUAGAAGACGAAAAAAAUAUUGAAAGUGUCUAUAAAGCGAUAAGAAAAUCUAAACAAGCAGACAUGUGGCCGUAUAAGGAAAAGCACCAACAAACAAAUAAAACAAACAGAAAACGAUCAACAAAGCAUAGAAAACCCGCAGUACAACAAACCAAACACAAUCAAAAGCACAAUCAGAAGCAACAAAAAAAUGAAAAAAGAUUUAAGAUCUCGUGAAUACAAUGUAGCCAAAACCAGGAAAAGCACAAAAAAGUGGUGAUGAAACAUCAGGGAGACGCGCUCACCUAGAUAGUGUGGCUCUAAUCCCAUUGGUGAUAUAGAACAAAUAAGCCUGAGGAAGUGCUCAAAUUAUGUGAAGCCUUAUAAGCCCAAGGAUUUUGGCCUAUAAUUAUAGGUCAAACGUUCAAGUGAAAUAGACCAUAUAAGAGGUCGCAGCGCACUUCAUCACAUUGAAACAUUUAACCUAAUCUGCUCGUAAAAAUAACAGCAGCCACGUCUAAAUAGCUUAAAUACUUACCUUCUUGCCAUUCUUGUUACAGCACAGACUCGAGCUAAUGGGCUCAUGUAUGGCAUAGAUACUUGAAGUACGAGUACUCAACUAUCGUUUCGUCGCAUUAUUUCCUUCGAACAAUGCCAUUGAAAACGUUUUCACACAAAGUUCGCGUUUAUGUUUACAUAUCGUAUUUAUUCUGCGCUUAUUUAAAUGAACUUUCAAAACUAUUGUGUGGGUCAAGGCUUUUACGACAUCUAUAAACCUGCAUCUUAUCGCAUCGUAGGUGACUUAAUGUAAUAUUUGAAAGAAAAAGUCAAACACUAAAAUAAAUGACUAUCUGGUAUUAACCUGUUUUCACAAGCAGCAGCACCGGCACUGGCACAAAAUGCCAAUUCAAAUACAAAUACCAUUUCAAAUGCCGAUAACAGAGGCGAUGCAUUAAAUUAAUACAUCAAACAGCCAUUGAUAGAUGCAAAGAUGCAAAUAAAUACUACACUCAGACACACUAACAGAUGUACGUACAUAUGUACAGGUGUACGUACAUACGUGGGCCUAGUCAAAGUCAACUACGUAGUUCGAUAAGUUAAUGAAACGACGGACAGUUAACACAUUAAUGCUUGAACACAACAUUCGGAGGCCAGUCAAUACCAACCUCCAGCCUCUCCCAGUUGUGCAUAAAUCAAAUGCGAUCGUAUAUCAACGCAUGGAAAUGAAAUAUGAACACAAAUAUUUAUACAUACACUCAUAGCUGGCAUCACAUACUCACAUAUGUACGAGUGUGUGUAUACAAACGAGGCAUGGUAAUUUGUCAAAAAAAGAUUCUACGAUAUAAUCAACGCCAUUUAAUUAGGCGGUAGAGCAGUUGGCCACAGCUUUGGUAUGGAGCUCAGGAAAAGGCUGAAAUCGCCGCGCUACGCUAACAAAGGACUAAGUACAAUAAUGAAAAAAAGCAACAACAAAAAAAUAAAUAAACAAUAAAAGAAAUGUAGAGAACAAUUCAAGAAGCUGUAUUUAUGGCACCUGUAUGCUGUGGAUACCAAUACAGCACAACCGGAUUGACGGGCCACUGGGGUAGAGUUGAGGGCGGUGGGAAGCCAAAGCAGAAAUUUUAUAUCAGUGCCCAGUAAAAAUGGAAAACCCAAGGAAACACGCAUAGAAAUAAAAAAAUCAACAGGAAACUCUUCAUGAUUUAUAUACAUAUUUUCGCUUUUUUACUAAUUUUUCGAACUACAUUUAUGGUUAAUAUUUAAUACAAAGCUGCAUAUGAUAGUAACUAUUAUACGAACCCAUCUCACCGCUGCUAUGGACGAAUUUGGAAUCCCAAAUGCUGUCAUCCGAAUUCACGUCAAGAAAUAGCCUUAGACAAGGUGAUGGAUGACCUCCCGUACCUUCUGUUUUAUCGCGCUCUUGAAAAGGUAAUAAGGGAGCUGGAGUAACCAUAGAUGGGUAUAUAUUCUUCAAAUCAGUACAAAUACUGGCAUAUGCAGAUGAUUUGGACAUUAUAGCGCCAUCCUUAAGGAAGCAUUUAUAAAAAUUGAUUGGCAAGAAGAAUAGGAUGCACUUAAUGCCGACGGAGCAAAGGUCAUGCUGUCAUCACCACAAGAACAAGCAGUGCAGCACAUCGAAAAAUAUUUGGUGAUGUUUGCAAAAAUGGCAUUUGGAGAAUCUCGAGCUUCGUAUAACCACCCGGAUAUUUUCAUGACAAUAAAGCUUAACCGUCUAUGAUGAGCUGGUCACGCUAUAAGGACAUAAGACGAAACAUACCCACCAAAGAAAGAGAGCGCAAAACUCCAAUGGUUUAAUGGCGCAAAUCGGGACGCUGAGCUACUUGGCACACUUUGUUGGAGAACUCAAACCGAGGGAUAAAUCGAAUUUGGAGACAAAUGUUACAGCAAGCCAAGACUCUGCCCGGGUUGUUGAGCUAACCAUGAUGUUGAUGAUGCUAAAGCAAGGUGGCGCCAAACCAAUCACCCCAUCGAAAGAUUUAUAAUUUUUUCCAAUGGUGUCAGGCGUCAACCAUAUUUGACACCAAUGAACUAGAGAAGUAAAGAAUGAUCAAAAUAAAGAUUUCCAUCACUCAAAACUACUUUUUUUAUUAAUAAUUAAAUGUGUACUACUCACUUUGUACUACUCACCUUUCUGCGCCAACACUGACAUCUAAAUUAAGCCGUUAUUAGCAUGCGCCAAUAAUACUGAAACAAAAUAAAAAACAGAAAAGCAAAAAGCAAAUACAGUAGGUUCUGUUUUUAUGCGGUAGAUACGUUCCGCAAGAAACAGCAUAAAAAAACAGCAUAAAAAAGCUACUAGUUCUAUAGUAACACUAUAGAUACGUUUCAAAUGCUAA